ACACUUUGGUGUGCUGUAGAAGCCAGAGAUUCUGUCUCUGGAGCCCAACAAGGUUUCUUUCCAUGGCAGAAACAACGUUUCACUAAGAGGAAGGAAGCUGGAAUCUGUUACUAAAAUCCGUAUUCAAGGAGUUCUGGACUGCAUUCCUAAAGAAUCUCCAGUGUUUGAUCGCUCCAGUGACUCUUUAUGGUUCCACAUUCCUCCCAGUGAAACUAAAGGAAUAGCCAAAGUGUGUGUUGUUACUCCUGACGACCGUUGUCAUGGAAACAGCAUCAUCACUUACGGUUCUCAGCCCAGCAGCACUGGAAUACAGCCCACAGUCAGCUGGAGCAGUGGAGGAAGGAAGAUUCAUGUUCAGGGCAGUAAUCUGGAA